rnacentral:rRNA from 1 species
UACAGAGGGUGCGAGCGUUAAUCGGAAUUACUGGGCGUAAAGGGCGCGUAGGCGGUUAUAUAAGUUAGAUGUGAAAUCCCUGGGCUUAACCUAGGAACUGCAUCUAAGACUGUGUAACUGGAGUGCUGUAGAGGGUAGUGGAAUUUCCGGUGUAGCGGUGAAAUGCUUAGAUAUCGUCAAGAACACCUAUAGCGAAGGCAGCUUACUAGGCUGUAACUGACGCUGAGGCACGAAAGUGUGGGGAUCAAACAGG